UUUUCCCAUCAACUCUAACUAAGAAAAAGAAAACCCGGUUCCGGUAACCGUAACCGAAACCAAACACCAUACCGACACCACUUCUCAUUCACCACUAUGCCUCCUAACCACUUAACUAUCUCUACUAAACCACUCGAGACUUAAACCACGGAAAACAUACUACCCGAAACCAUUUCUGGUGAAGAAAUACAAAUUCUGGCGAUACUUACGUACUUUCCGACGACGUCUUUCGUAACCGAAACGUGUUUUUGACCAAGGUUUAUACGAACAUGCUUGACAAGUUUAUAUAUUUUAAGACGACAAUCAAGAAACAAGGCUCACAGGUUACUUUGGGCAGGGUGAAGAGUGAAGAAUAAACCCUAGGAUGUUAACCGAAGAUGUUU
rnacentral:lncRNA from 1 species